AGAUCAUGGUGUGGGAAGUUCCUUAGUAGACCUUUGUAUCUCUCCCAUGCCUCAUAAAGUGACUUUCUAGAUUGUUGCUCAAAGUUAGCUAUGGCUUUCUUAAAUUU